rnacentral:tRNA from 1 species
GAGGUGGCUCAGAGGGUAAGAGCACUGACUGGUCUUCCAGAGGACUUGGGUUCAAACCCAACAGACUCA